rnacentral:rRNA from 1 species
UACGAAGGGUGCGAGCGUUGUUCGGAAUUACUGGGCGUAAAGGGAGUGUAGGCGGAUAUGUAAGAUAGCGGUGAAAUGCCGGGGCUCAACCCCGGAACUGCCAUUAUGACUAUGUAUCUAGAGUAAUGGAGAGGAUAGCGGAAUACCCAGUGUAGAGGUGAAAUUCGUAGAUAUUGGGUAGAACACCGGUGGCGAAGGCGGCUAUCUGGCCAUUUACUGACGCUGAGGCUCGAAAGCAUGGGGAUCAAACAGG